rnacentral:rRNA from 1 species
GACGAACGCUGGCGGCGUGCUUAACACAUGCAAGUCGAACGGAAAGGCCCUGCUUUUGUGGGGUGCUCGAGUGGCGAACGGGUGAGUAACACGUGAGUAACCUGCCCUUGACUUUGGGAUAACUUCAGGAAACUGGGGCUAAUACCGGAUAGGAGCUCCUGCUGCAUGGUGGGGGUUGGAAAGUUUCGGCGGUUGGGGAUGGACUCGCGGCUUAUCAGCUUGUUGGUGGGGUAGUGGCUUACCAAGGCUUUGACGGGUAGCCGGCCUGAGAGGGUGACCGGCCACAUUGGGACUGAGAUACGGCCCAGACUCCUACGGGAGGAAGCAGUGGGGAAUAUUGCACAAUGGGCGGAAGCCUGAUGCAGCAACGCCGCGUGCGGGAUGACGGCCUUCGGGUUGUAAACCGCUUUCGCCUGUAACGAAGCGUGAGUGACGGUAAUGGGUAAAAAGGCACCGGCUAACUACGUG